rnacentral:rRNA from 1 species
UACGGAGGGUGCAAGCGUUAUCCGGAUUCACUGGGUUUAAAGGGUGCGUAGGCGGGCCAGUAAGUCAGUGGUGAAAUCUCCGGGCUUAACUCGGAAACUGCCGUUGAUACUAUUUGUCUUGAAUAUCAUGGAGGUAAGCGGAAUAUGUCAUGUAGCGGUGAAAUGCUUAGAUAUGACAUAGAACACCGAUAGCGAAGGCAGCUUACUACAUGUUCAUUGACGCUGAGGCACGAAAGCGUGGGGAGCAAACAGG